GAAAGUACCAAAUAUUACUUCCCUUAGAAAUUUUCCAAAAAACCCAGAUCUUAUUACACGGGCAAAACCCAAAAUAGUACAAGUUAGUAACUCAAGUACAGAACAUUUUAGAGCAAGCUGAAGGCCACAUGAGCAUGCAACAACAACGGCAGCAGACACUUUAAACAUAUAUUAAGAUCUUCACAUAUAUAUAUAGCUAUAAUCAUAUAAAGACAUGUAUGAUAUUUUUACGCAUAUGGAGAGGAUUUUAUGGGUUUGGGCAGUUGUUUCCAGUAACUGAAAUAGUGCUAGUUGCGCAGGUGAUGGUUCUGCUAGCUGCUGCUACUGCUGCUCUCUCUCUCUCUCUCUCUCUCUCU
rnacentral:misc_RNA from 1 species